rnacentral:rRNA from 1 species
GUGGUAAUGCCGGAUGCUCCGACUCCUCGCAUGGGGUGUCGGGAAAGAUUUCAUCGGUAUGGGAUGGGGUCGCGUCCUAUCAGGUAGUCGGCGGGGUAACGGCCCACCGAGCCUACGACGGGUAGCCGGCCUGAGAGGGCGACCGGCCACAUUGGGACUGAGAUACGGCCCAGACUCCUACGGGAGGCAGCAGUGGGGAAUAUUGCACAAUGGGCGCAAGCCUGAUGCAGCGACGCCGCGUGCGGGAUGACGGCCUUCGGGUUGUAAACCGCUUUUGAUCGGGAGCAAGCCUUCGGGUGAGUGUACCUUUCGAAUAAGCACCGGCUAACUACGUGCCAGCAGCCGCGGUAAUACGUAGGGUGCAAGCGUUAUCCGGAAUUAUUGGGCGUAAAGGGCUCGUAGGCGGUUCGUCGCGUCCGGUGUGAAAGUCCAUCGCUUAACGGUGGAUCUGCGCCGGGUACGGGCGGGCUGGAGUGCGGUAGGGGAGACUGGAAUUCCCGGUGUAACGGUGGAAUGUGUAGAUAUCGGGA